GACGAACGCUGGCGGCGUGCUUAACACAUGCAAGUCGAACGGUGAAGGGACCGGUUUUUGCUGGUUCUGGAUGAGUGGCGAACGGGUGAGUAACACGUGAGUAACCUGCCCCCUUCUUCUGGACAACCGCAUGAAAGUGUGGCUAAUACGGGAUAUUCUGGGUCUGUCGCAUGAUGGGUCUGGGAAAGAUAUUGCUUCGGUGGGGGAUGGGCUCGCGGCCUAUCAGCUUGUUGGUGGGGUGAUGGCCUACCAAGGCGGUGACGGGUAGCCGGCCUGAGAGGGUGGACGGUCACACUGGGACUGAGACACGGCCCAGACUCCUACGGGAGGCAGCAGUGGGGAAUAUUGCACAAUGGGCGCAAGCCUGAUGCAGCGACGCCGCGUGAGGGAUGGAGGCCUUCGGGUUGUAAACCUCUUUCGCCAGUGAAGCAGGCCCGCCUCUUUUGUGGGUGGGUUGACGGUAGCUGGAUAAGAACGCGCC
rnacentral:rRNA from 1 species